CGACUGUCUGCGGAGAGUGAACGGUUCUUUUCAAUUGAUGCAUGGGGAUGAAAAAAGAAGGCCUCUCCCAAGCUAUGGUGUCCCGCCUUGUGAAGUCCAUCUCAAUAGCCAUUGCCAGGAGAUGGGAGCAACACAUCACAAUUCCUUCAACAAGAGAGGCAGUCCUGCAGAGUGCAGACCCAACAUGAAUGUUAUAAUUACUGCCAUUUCCCUGGCGUUAAUAUGGUCGGUGCUAUUGAUUGCACCCACGUAGGCAUCUCCAAGCCAGUUGGCCCAACACCAGUUAUUUCCUGAACAGGAAAAAUAGAUACUACAUUUUUCUUGGAAAGUCUGCUGGAUGAUGUUUUUCUUCAGUAAAAUAAAUGAAGGCAAAUUCCCUGAUAACUGAGACAAAUUCAGAGAGAGGAAGGAGAACUACUGAGCUGCUGAAUUUCUGACAGACAUACUUGCAAGGACUAUGAAGUUCUACUUAGCCUCUUCAAUGAACCAGACUCCAUCUGCUGUAACUGUGACUGCAUGGGGAUCAAAACCUUUGUAUUAUAAUCCUCAUAACAUGAAGCUAUGGUAACAAACAAGCAACCAUUGAUAAAAAGCCUGAUAUGUCCUUGUUGUUUGUGUGAACCACAAAGCAAC
rnacentral:lncRNA from 15 species